rnacentral:lncRNA from 1 species
AGUUAUUUAUAGCAGCAAGAGCUCUCCUACAGUAGGGCACAGUGGCUUCCUUCCUCCUCCUUCUCAUUUCUCUAAAAUGGAACAUAUUUUUGUUUUCCUGGUGGGAAAAACUGCCAGAUCAAUGAUUUACACCUCUCUCUCCCUCCCUCCCUCCCUCUCUCUCUCUCUCUCUCUCUCUCUCUCUCUCUCUCCAUAUUCUCUUCUGCCUCUUUCACCUUCUGAACAGUCUCUGGAUUCUCCCAGAAUAUAAUCCAGGUAUUGCCACCAACUUUUGUGUCUCAAACCAGAUCGCUCAACUUCCCGGAGCCUCUGGCCGCCCACAGGGCUGUGCUUGGUCCCCCCGCCACCCCCCAACCUUGUGGCCAAUUUCUAAGGGAGACUUGAAGGAGGGCUUUUGUGUCUGUUCCCUACUUUCCAGCCCUCCCCUGCCUGCGGGAUGAGCUCUUGGGAGCAGAGGCUAUAAUCAGAGGGACAUCUUCCCCUCCUUGGCCCACUCCCUGCCCUGUGAUCUCCAUCUCAGACAAAGAUAUACCAUCCCCCCCAAACUGCCUGGCCUAGGACCUCGGGGUCCUCUUGGCUCUUUUGUCUUCCUGCCCCCCUCCCCACAUCUAGUGGGCUCUUCCUCCCUCCCUAUGGUAGUGAAGGGACCGGGCAGCGCAGCCUGUGCCUGCAGAUUCUGUUGCUAAGGAAACCACUUCCUUGGUUACCAGCCUGGGUACCAUUUGUCUCACUGUGUCUGCAUCCCGCCGAGUCGCCCCCGCUCCCCAGGAUGAGAGGACGGCAGGGGUGGGCGAGAGCCCAGGAUCCAGAGGCAGGGUGUAGAGACAGAGAUGGAGAGGAGACCACGGGGACGGGGCGAUUG